AUCUAGCUGACGAGUCCUAAAUAGAACGAAAUAUGUGUCCUGGAU
rfam:Schistosoma curassoni strain Dakar, Senegal genome assembly, scaffold: SCTD_scaffold0000155